CCAGGCUGGAGUGCAAUGGUGCAAUCUCAGCUCACCGCAACCUCAGCUCACCGCAACCUCCGCCUCCCAGGUUCAGUGAUUCUCCUGCCUCAGCCUCCUGAGUAGCUGGGAUUACAGGUGUGCACCAUCAUGCCUGGCUAAUUUUUGCAUUUUUAGUACAGACGGGCUUUCACCAUGUUAGUCAGGCCGGUCUCGAACUCCUGACCUCAGGUGAUCCACCCGCCCCGGCCUCCCAAAGUGCUGGGAUUACAGGGUUAAGCCACCACACCUGGCCAUAAAUCAUCUCUUUAACAAGCACUUACUGUGUACCUCCUGUGUCCCAGGUGCUGUGUGAGGGACACAGCAUGGAAUAAAACACAUCCUUGCUUGGAGAAGCUCAAGCUGCAGAAGAGAUACCUGUAAACAGAUACUGACUUCACACACUCAUAAUCAUCUAACCAGAACCAACAGAGGGCGAAACCCAGAUAGGCUUCCCAGAAGAGGAGGAAUUUAUAAAACAGAUCUUGUAGGAGGCAAGUGCCUUGUUAUGCAGAGAAGAUGAGGCAUAGGAUCACAGAGGAACCCAGGAGCAAGCAGCAUGUGUAAAGGGACCUACCAGCUUGCUCCAAACCUUCUCCUCCAGGUUCACUCUGUCAGGUACCAAGAUCACCACAGACCCAGUUCCACAAACUGGAACUUCUACAACUCUUGCUUCCAGUUAAUCACUGAGUCCUGUCUAGUCUCCUUCCAAAUCUCUCAGACACUCCCCCUUCUUUCCUCUAUCUUUACUCCCAUCAUCGCAGCCCAAUGCCAUUUCUCUCUGGCUCCUGCAAUGGCCUCCAAACUAACAUCUGUUUAUUUUUGUCCAUGUAAAUCCACUUCACACAGAGCAUCCAGACUGAUCCUUUGUUAAAGGGGGAAAAAAGGAAAAAUAAUGUGAUGCUCUCAUCAUCCUGCUUAAGCCCUUUGGCAGCUCCAGUGCCUUCAAGAUUAAGCUGAAACUUCCUAACAGGAUUUACAAAGCCCUUGGUGGGCUGGCCCCUGCUCACCUCUCUAACUUCAUCUCUGAUCUCCACUUCCAGCUUUGAAGUGCUUCAGUUCCUGACACAGUGACUUAUAACCCUGGUUGCCCAUGAGAACCACCUGGGGAGCUUUAAGAAAUACUGAUGCCAAGGCCCCACUCCCAGAGAUUCAGAUUUAUUCAAGGGGCAUUAGGAUGCUGUAAAGCCUCCACGAGAUAUCAAUGAGCAGCUAGGGUUGAGAACAUUGCUUUAGCCUGACACGUCUCUGUCUCAUGUCCAGGUUUGUUGCACAUGACCUGUCUGUUGCUGGAAGCACUGGAGCUCUCCUAGCCUCCUGGCCAGAAGGCAGAGACUUUUUGGUCUCUCUCGUUCACUGCUGUAGUCCCAACACCUAGAAAAGUGCCUAGAACAUAGUGGGUACUCCAUAAAUACCUGCAGAAAGAAAGAAUGAAUAUGUGACUCUGCUUUCACCCUUCACCUGGAUAGAUGCCACUCAAUUCUUUUUUCUUUUUUUUUUUUUUUUGGACCCCCCGACUCCAUCAUAAGGACCCAGCUUAUAUUUCCCAAAAGAUAGUCCUGAUUCUCCUGGUCUGAGAUAGGUUACUCUGUAUAAUUUCAGCACUCCAGAUUUCCAUUGUAGUGUAAAUCGUACCACACUGUAAUUAUCUGUAUCUCUUACUUAGCUUCUGAGCUCUGAGGGAGCCCAGUCUGUGUGUUCACCAAUACACCUGCACCAUCUGGCAAAGUGCCUUAAAAAGUGCAGCACGAAUACAUGGAAGUGAACAGACACAGUGUGCUGGGUGACAACAGAGAGAGAGAUCAGAGAGCAUUAACAGUAUUUGUCAACUGGGUGGACCAGUGAGAGAGAAGGAGGUGCUGUGGUUGGCUCUGAUCCCCCGUUUGGAAGACUAUGGAUUUGGUGUCAUGAGCAUGGUCAGAUGUAGUCUCAUGAUUACACAGGCAGUGUCAGAAGCCUGAACUCAGGAGCCAGACUGCCUCCAUUCAAAUCUUAGCUCUAGUUGCUUCUUGGCCUUUUGGCUAAGACCACGUACAAAUCUUAACUCUACGACUUAGCUAGCUCUCAGGCCUGGGGAAGUCAGCUUCACUUCAGUUCUUCAUCUGUUAAAUGAGAAUAAUAGUAGUAUGUACAUCACAGGGAUGUUGUGAAGAUUCAAUGAGGUAAAACAUGUAAAUAGCCAUUUCCUGGCACAUAGCAAAUGCCACAUAAGAGUUAACAGGCUGGGCGCGGUGGCUCAUGCCUGUAAUCCCAGCAAUUUGGGAGGCCGAGGCAGACAGAUCACUUGAGGCCAGGAGUUCGAGAUCUUUCUGGCCAACAUGGCAAAACCCCAUCUCUACUAAAA
rnacentral:lncRNA from 1 species